rnacentral:rRNA from 1 species
UACGGGGGGAGCAAGCGUUGUUCGGAAUUACUGGGCGUAAAGGGCUCGUAGGCGGCCAACUAAGUCAUACGUGAAAUCCCCAGGCUCAACCUGGGAACUGCGUCUGAUACUGGUUGGCUUGAAUCCGGGAGAGGGAUGCAGAAUUCCAGGUGUAGCGGUGAAAUGCGUAGAUAUCUGGAGGAAUACCGGUGGCGAAGGCGGCAUCCUGGACCGGCAUUGACGCUGAGGAGCGAAAGCCAGGGGAGCAAACGGG